rnacentral:rRNA from 1 species
ACGGGUGAGUAACACGUGGGCAACCUGCCCUUGAGACUGGGAUAACUUCGGGAAACCGGAGCUAAUACCGGAUAAUAUAAGGAACCUCCUGGUUCCUUAUUGAAAGAUGGUUUCGGCUAUCACUUAAGGAUGGGCCCGCGGCGCAUUAGCUAGUUGGUGAGGUAACGGCUCACCAAGGCGACGAUGCGUAGCCGACCUGAGAGGGUGAUCGGCCACACUGGGACUGAGACACGGCCCAGACUCCUACGGGAGGCAGCAGUAGGGAAUCUUCCACAAUGGACGAAAGUCUGAUGGAGCAACGCCGCGUGAGUGAUGAAGGCCUUCGGGUCGUAAAGCUCUGUUGUUAGGGAAGAACAAGUGCGAGAGUAACUGCUCGCACCUUGACGGUACCUAACCAGAAAGCCACGGCUAACUACGUGCCAGCAGCCGCGGUAAUACGUAGGUGGCAAGCGUUACCCGGAAUUAUUGGGCGUAAAGCGCGCGCAGGUGGUUUCUUAAGUCUGAUGUGAAAGCCCACGGCUCAACCGUGGAGGGUCAUUGGAAACUGGGGAACUUGAGUGCAGAAGAGGAAAGUGGAAUU